UGGAAGCGUGGACUUCCGCGUAAAGGGACAGGCGACUCCUUGGGAGCGUUUCCUCGUGGAGAGGAGGAAGCGGAGUGGGGGAUGGGAGAAGAGCCCAGCACGUGUUUUUGCUUAAUCUCUUCCUUUUAUCUAAACAGAUUAAACACACAAACUUCGCUCCCGCCCCGCAACGCGCUCUUCACUGCUUUCUAGUCGAUCCUGUCUUCUCCAGUGGGAAACAUAUGGCCUUCUGGUUUGUAUGAUUGGGGCUACCACGGCACCCACUAGUAGUUUUCGAACAGUAGCGCAGCUUCUACAUACUUAUUUGGGAAGAAGGUGCAAAGGAGAGUUUUUUUUUGUGGCUGUAAAUUACACCGCCUUGUUGCUUUGCCUUUAGGAGCUGCUACCGUGGAUAUCCUGACUGCCAACCAGCCCACGUUAUUCGCCAUGCAGGCGGGUGGAUAAGGUUCACUCUCCUGCAUAUGAUUUCUUAUAAUCCUGGAUGAUUUGCAUUAAGUAGCAUGCCAAGUCUUCCUCCCUCCCUCCUCGCCCCCUUCAGUUUCUCUUGGAGGGAGGAGGCGAAAAAAGCCUCCGUGAAGAGCUCCUCCUCUGGAAAGCUCUGGUGGCAAAUAGACUGGUCAAGGAAUGGUUUGCAGAACAAAUAAGGCUAUAAAUUGGAUGCUUGUCUCCUGUCCCCCCCUUCCUUAAUACACUCAGGUACAUUGUUUACAAUGGCAUACUUUGUCCAUGAUUCGUUGAGUUGCCCAACUCUCAAAUCCUAAUGCCUGUGAAAAUGGAAAACAGUAAUUUUAAAACAAACAAUAAAUAGCUCACAGACUUUCCCCUUCUUAUCCAACAGUACUGUCAGGAGUGAAACAGGUUCUACAGCACCUAUCAAGUCAUUGCUUCAUCCCCAGUAGGUGCUGAGACAAAAAAAGGAGAACCUUCACAAUGAAUUACAUGCCACCUGAUGACAAUGUUCAGUCUCCAGCCUCUCCAGAUCCUGCCUGAAACCCCAGGAAGUUGAGUAUCACUGGACACGGCUGGGAUGUUUUGUGACUCAGCGGUGGCAUGGAUGUCCAAUCCUAGCUUCUCCUUUGAAGGCCCUUGUGACUCCUGGUCUACUUGCUUCUGGAGUGCUCAAACUGCACUGGGUGCUGCAUCAUCAAUGUAAGCACACAAACAUUCUUGAAAACAGAGUGACAAAGCCGAACAAAACCAUUGGUAAUUUUCCCCCCCCUCACCCUUAUAGCCUGAUACCGUGAUAAAUGUUUCUAUAUUAAAUCAAUGCUUUGUCUUUAUCUUCAGAACUGUGUCAACCAUGUAUUAUAAACGGUAAGCAGGGUACUGUAACAGUUAAAAUUAGCAAAUUCAAACACAU